CCCUUUUAUGAGGGCCCCCUAUACUUUUUGCGUGAAGCGUGAUGGGCUUAUUUUACUUAGCCGUGAAACGUGAUCGAUGAUUUUCUUAAUCCGUGAUUCGUGAUAGUAUGACUUCCAAUCUUUUUUCGUGCACGUGAAGGAAAGAUUCGAAUUAACCGUGACCCGUGAAUGGCAGAUAGAAAUAUGCGUGAUUCGUGAAUCAUCUGUUUUGUGUGAUCAGCUUUCCAAGGUAUAAAUACGGUUUGUUGCUGUUUUUUGAAGUACUUGAUGUACAGGAGCCUGUUUUCGACAUAGUUGGAGGUUUGAAAGCAUGUCGAAGUAAGUACAGACGAGUACAAUGAUUCUACAAUUAAGGAAGACAUCCUAUAAUAAUUCGUGAAUUUUGUUUUAUUUUUACGUGAAUCGUGAUCGCUUCGAUUUUUCCGUGAACGUGAAGGAAUUUUUUCAAUUUUUCGUGACUCGUGAAAAGGCAAAAUAUUUUUACGUGAAAGCAUAUUGUGAAGGGGUAUAGGGGGCCCUC